UCCUCCUUAGCUCAGUUGGUUAGAGCAUCUGACUGUUAAUCAGAGGGUCGCUGGUUCGAGUCCAGCAGGGGGAG
rnacentral:tRNA from 2 species